AAGAUUUAAAACCCUAAGUUCCUAAUGAUUUCUCUCCAACUCUCCCUCUCUCGUUCUCUUCCUCCCUUCAAAUCCUCCACCCACCCGUCCUCCUUCUCUUCUCCGGCGUCGUCGGCCGCGGUGCCUGGAUCCAGCGAAGCCGUGCCUCCAUUUCUCCUCAUCUCUCAACAGAUUUUCACCUCUCUCCUUCUCAUCCCUCAAUUUCUCAGUUCGUGCCCUAGAUCUUCUUCCAAAAUGUUGUCACCUCAAGGAUCUCCGCCACGAUUAGCUCCGGCGAGGCUGGCUGCCGCCGCCUCUGAAAUUGGCGAGGCAAUCGUCAUCCCCUGUUCUCACCUACUCAUUCACACGCACACGACGAAGACAAGGGUUGAGCCCUGACCUCGGCUCGACUGCUGCCGCUCUCUCUCACGAGCGCCUUCGCCGUCGGCGCUGGGCUCUAAAAUUGGUGAGGCUUUCGCGCUCCCCUCCCUGUGUUCGUCGCGCUCCCCUCCCUGACCUCUCAGCUCGACUGCUGCCGCGCUGUCUCACGAGUACCUUCGCCGUCGGCGCUGGGCUCUAAAAUUGGUUCGCGCUCCCCUCCCUGUGUUCGUACGGCGGGUAGCAGUCCUGAGAUUGCCACCUUCUUAGCCAGAUAUUACUUAUGCAGGUGGGCCAGGUAAAUUUUCCCAAAUUCAGUUAUCGAAUUAGGUAUCCUCUUCGAAAAAAUGCCAUCUUUGGACGGAUCCCAUGUUUCAGAUCUGUAUAUGUGUGUGUGUGUGUGUGUGUGCAAUUAGUUUUAUUGGGUGCUCUUUACUGUGUAAUGUAUAUAGUUCAAGUGAUGAGUUGAUUUCUGAAAGUUGGGCUGUUUAUGAACUCUUUGAUACUUUGAUAUGAAGCUAAAAGAGCUGAUAUAUCUAUAUAUGUAUGUAUGUAUGUAUGUAUGCAUAUUUUAUGUUUCUUGGUGAUUGGUCAAUGGGUGGAUUGAGAAGCUUUUGGUGGUGAAAUCAUGCUCGUAGUUGAACUGCUUAAUUUCCAUUAGAAUUUGUUUAGACUCAAUUUCUGCACACACAAGAAUGAAAGGAUGAAAGGUUCUAAUCGAGUUAUGUCUUAAUCUCCUUCAAGGUCUGUUGCAUCCAAGUCAGAAUCUGCCCUCACUCUGUAUCAAGGUAUUUACUCAUUUUGUGACAGUCCAAUUUAGCCUUUCUCCACGAAUACAUAAGAAUUGGUAUUAACAUGACGGAUGUGAAAUCAAAUUAGUGUACAAAUAACUGGUUGAUCAGACAAAAAAGGGAUACCUUGGUGACAGCUUCUUACUUCUAUAUAAAUCAAGAAAGAAAUUAAAUUAGUGAAGCUAGUUUAAACACAAAAGUGAGAAAAGGGAAAAGUUUAGCUGUUGGAAUAUUCCGAGUUUCCUUUAUCAAUCUGCAACUCUAUCCACUUAGUUCUCCUACAUUUAUGCAUGUACUCCACCACAGUUGGACCACUGCUCUUAAAACUCUUUAAGUUUAAUUUGUA
rnacentral:lncRNA from 1 species